UAAAAAUACAGCAUGCUAUAAGCACCUCCGACCACACAACCCCCUUUCCUCACUCUCGCAUUCCCAGCCGCCGCAUACAGUAUGUCUGCGCGAGACGAGCGACCGACACACGCGCCGUCGCCUCGCCUCCUUCCAGAUCCGCCGCGAGCCGGGAACGAGGAAAACGAAAGGAUGGGAUCAAAAUUUAAUGCAUUGUGGAAAAAUGAGUUACUUGCCCUGGGCAAAGAUGAUAAAGAUAAAGCAAUCACAGUAAGAAAUGAUUAUCCGAAGCCCCCUGUCCCUUGUUUUGAAAUCACUGAGGAUUUUGAUUUGGAAAAGGUUGAGGAGCUUAUGCUAGAAAGGGAUAUUAAGAUCGCCAAGUCCAUGGCAAAUGACAUAAUCAUCCCAGACCCUGCUCCCAAGUGGGUGGGUGAUGCCUUCUUGGACAUAUAUGCCAAAUUGGAGCACAUCCUUGUAAAGGAUAGUGUCCGGUGCUUCCUCCGAUUUUUCGAGAACUGUGAAGGCCAGGGCAUGUCAUCUUAUCUUACCAUCACCGCACAAACCUUAACCUUCAUUGUCAGUUUCAAUGCCCUGCGAUGUGCAAAAGUCGUAUUGGAGGGCAUGGCACCUGAGCUCUAUGGGAUGCACGCCAAUCCCAACUGCAUAAACAAAUAUGGAUACUUCGUGCUCCAUGAAGCUGCUGAAAGGUUCUCUGUUGACAUGAUCAAGCUGCUUUUACGCCAUGGUGCAUCACCCAAUGUGCGCACAGUUGGCAAUGAUGUCAUCGAGAAUCUACUCCCGCUCCAUGUCGCAGUUGAGAAUACUUGCCUGCAUAAGUAUCUGGAGGACAAUCUGGAGGACAAUCCUUCUCACAGCCAGAAUCAUGAGGAUAUGUCUACAAGCUUAUUCAUCUGCUGUGUCUACCUGAAAUGAAGAUCUUCUUGGACACAAUUAGACUGCUUGCAGAGAAAACAAAUAAUCUACUCGAAGAGCUCUGGAAUUAUAUUGAGGAUGGAAAAAUUAUCCAGUCUGCUGUUCUACUACUGGCUGCUCAAGAGCAGAUCCGUGGGGUUAGUUCUUCCAAGAUAAAUGGCAGUAGUAAGAAAAAUGGUUUGAAAUCAUCGAGAAGUGUAUAACGAGGCAUUCAUAUGCCUUGAGAAACGAGAAAGGUUCACUUGGAAUGGUACAGGAGCUUCUGGAGGAAAGGAAGACGCUUAACGAUUGUGCAUGGCUGCUUGUUGAUGUAAUUUCCCAUGCCGGUGAAGAUCUUUCUGCAUACAUUCAAGCGCAUUCUGUGGUGUCCCAUGUGGAGGUCUUUCAACAUGUUUCAUCUAUUCUCAAGGAGUGUGGAUUUUGCCCUACUGGAGAUCUUAUGGACACUAUAAACCUCCAGCCUUAUGACUGCAGAAAGUCAAACGGAGAGUCAUGCAAAGGGCUUACAGAUGCAAACAUGGCAGUUAUGGAAUCAGCCAAGCUGAAUGCUGCAGAGAAGAAGGCUGUGAGAAAGAAAGUAGGCGGAGGAUGGGAUCCCACGUAUACAAAGAGAAGCUUUUUCCCAUAUUGGAGAUCAGUGUUACAAGCUCGGGUUCCUUUGAAGGUGUAUCCAGCCCAUGCAAGCUCAGAUCCUAGGUCUCGUGUUAACCAUGGACAACUCCAUGUCUCUCUGAGUAACUCAAUAGCCAAUGGAUCUACAACAACUCCAAAUCAUAAACUUGGUCCAGUGCGAAGAACCUCGCCACUUACAAGCAAUAAUCAACCCAGAAGGUGCUUUGUCACUGCUGCUACUGGUGCAUUCAGGCUCUUGAAGGUGCUAAAGUAGAGUAGAAAGGAGGCUCAACUGAUGCCUGACUUGAUAGCCGCUGUGACCCCAGUCAUUUAGAUGUGGUGUUGUAAGUGUCAAAUGUGUGUGAUUUUGUUCUCUCGUCAUCGAAUAGAACUGGAUGGAGAUGGUUCGUAACAUCGAGGUUUAGCUUUUGACCUAUCAACUACUUGUCUGAAUGACUUUUAACGUUAAUGUUGUACACAUUUGUGUCUGGUUCCAUCUCAAUGAUUUUUAACGUUAAUGUUGUA